rnacentral:tRNA from 1 species
UCCCUGGAGGACUAGUGUUUAGGCUGUAGCACACUUACCGCUGCGGCCCGGGUUCGAUUCCCGGCCACGGAA